rnacentral:lncRNA from 1 species
AGAAAAGCCGACAGUCGAAGACAGACUGCGGUUCCGGAGACGAAGAUGUUCGGACAGAGAAGAAUCCCCGAUGGAGCCGGAAGGAGAGUGACUAAUCCCGGAGGAUCCAGAGGAGGAGAUGCUAGUUUCUCAAAUCAAUUCCCUAUCUUCUCAUUUGGGUUCAUGGUUAUUUAUAACAAUUUGUUCAACUAGAAUUCGUAUUGUAACUACUAACUACUUAAUAUCUAUAACUACUUAUGAUUUAGCUGAAUCUUUAUUCAUAAGUGAAAUCCUUGUCUCGCGUCGAACGCUUGCUCCUCGCUGGUCGAGCCGGGUUGGGUUGACACGAAUCCUCUGCAACUUCCAGUGAGUCCACUCCAAGCUUCAGUUCUUCCCGUAAUACUUCCUCCACGCUGGCUUGAUCAAUUCCUACUGUUACAAUGACGUCGGCUAUGAUGAGUGUCGUCGACAAAAUUCAGCAGGAUAAAAGAACGGGAAGAAAGAUAGAGAGGGAUCGAAGGUACCUGACUCAAGAGAAAUUACACUCUGCCCUCUUCUCCGGAAGCGUUGGACUUUUAUAGGACUUCCAGGUUGUUAUAGUUAUCAUUUAGUUGUUGAUGACAGGUCGCCUGAUGCAGAUGACACGUCAUCCGAUGAAGAUGAGUUAUAUUGAUAACUAUAUGAUGAGUUAUCAUUUAGUUGAAG